UACGAAGGGGGCGAGCGUUGUUCGGAAUCACUGGGCGUAAAGGGCGCGUAGGCGGCCCUCUUAGUCGCGUGUGAAAGCCCCGGGCUCAACCUGGGAACGGCGCGCGAAACGGGAGGGCUGGAGUUCGGGAGAGGAGAGUGGAAUUCCCAGUGUAGAGGUGAAAUUCGUAGAUAUCGGGAGGAAUACCGAUGGCGAAGGCAGGUCUCUGGGCUAUAACUGACGCUCAUGCACGAAAGCGUGGGGAGCAAACAGG
rnacentral:rRNA from 1 species